AUGGUACUAAGGACUCUUAGCCCCAAUUCAGUUGUUCGUUCCGGAAAUAUGUUGGAGAAAUUUCCACUUCUUGUAGAAAAACUAAAGAAAAUAGAGAAGUUACCCACGUUAUUUUUUAUAUUCAAUGUAAAUUAUGUAGAAAAAUGUGCUAGGCAUGUACACAUUUUCUUAAAGGAGAAGCAAAAGAAGAAAAGGCCUCCCAAAGCUGAUGAAGAAGCUCAGAAGUUGGCUGGCAAACUUCAAAAAGUUAACAAAUUCAUUAAGAAACAAAAGAUAUUAGAUGAAAAAAGCCAGAUAAGCAUGAAAAUAUUGAACCAAAGCCUAAUAUAUAUAGCUGAGCAUAAUUGUCUACUGAAAAGUCUGGAGAAGAACCUGGAAAUUCCUCAGGACUGCACAUACACUGAUCAAAAAGUGAUGGAUGAUGAGGUGGUGACAGCUACCGGAACACUUGCUUUAGGAAUCAACAUGCCUUGUAGAUCUGUUGUUUUUGCCCAAAACUCAGUCUAUCUGGAUGCUUUAAAUUACAGACAGAUGUCUGGUCGUGCUGGAAGACGGGGGCAAGACCUGCUGGGAGAUGUAUAUUUCUUUGAUAUUCCUCUGCCCAAAGUAGGAAAACUGAUAAAAUCCAAAGUUCCUGAGCUCAAAGGACAGUUCCCUCUCAAGAUAACCCUGAUUCUGCGACUCAUGCUGCUGGCUUCCAAGGCAGAUGACCUAGAGGAUGGCCAGGCAAAGGUAUCAUCCUGGGUGCCACCUGAAGCAGACCUUGGCCACUGGUCUGGCUGCAGGUGGGUCUGCUGGGUUUUUGAUUGUUUGUUUGUUGGUUUGUUUUCCCCUCAGAAAUCUGUACCAAUAACUUUUCAAUUUUAUAGGUCUUUUGAUACUUUUUAGUGUCUUCUAGAAAGGACAAUGGGAAGUAGAG
rnacentral:lncRNA from 1 species